CCUACGGGCGGCUGCAGUGGGGAAUAUUGCACAAUGGGGGAAACCCUGAUGCAGCGACGCAGCGUGAGUGAAGAAGUAAUUCGUUAUGUAAAGCUCUAUCAGCAGGGAAGAAAAUGACGGUACCUGAGUAAGAAGCCCCGGCUAACUACGUGCCAGCAGCCGUGGUAAUACGUCGGGGGCAAGCGUUAUCCGGAUGUAAUGGGUGUAAAGGGAGCGUAGACGGCAUUGCAAGUCUGGAGUGAAAGGCGGGGGCUCAACCCCUGGACUGCUCUGGAAACUGUACGGCUUGAGUGCAGGAGAGGUAAGUGGAAUUCCUAGUGUAGCGGUGAAAUGCGUAGAUAUUAGGAGGAACACCAGUGGCGAAGGUGGCUUACUGGACUGUAACUGACGUUGAGGCUCGAAAGCGUGGGGAGCAAACAGGAUUAGAUACCCCAGUAGUC
rnacentral:rRNA from 1 species